rnacentral:rRNA from 1 species
UAGGGAAUCUUCCACAAUGGACGCAAGUCUGAUGGAGCAACGCCGCGCGAGUGAAGAAGGUUUUCGGAUCGUAAAGCUCUGUUGUUGGUGAAGAAGGAUAGAGGCAGUAACUGGUCUUUAUUUGACGGUAAUCAACCAGAAAGUCACGGCUAACUACGUGCCAGCAGCCGCGGUAAUACGUAGGUGGCAAGCGUUGUCCGGAUUUAUUGGGCGUAAAGCGAGCGCAGGCGGAAUGAUAAGUCUGAUGUGAAAGCCCACGGCUCAACCGUGGAACUGCAUCGGAAACUGUCAUUCUUGAGUGCAGAAGAGGAGAGUGGAACUCCAUGUGUAGCGGUGGAAUGCGUAGAUAUAUGGAAGAACACCAGUGGCGAAGGCGGCUCUCUGGUCUGCAACUGACGCUGAGGCUCGAAAGCAUGGGUAGCGAACAGGAUUAGAUACCCUGGUAGUCCAUGCCGUAAACGAUGAGCGCUAG